rnacentral:rRNA from 1 species
UACGAGUGCCUCAAGCGUUAUCCGGAUUUACUGGGCGUAAAGGGCGCGUAGGCGGUCAGCACAAGUCAGUUGUGAAAUCUCCGGGCUUAACUCGGAAAGGUCAACUGAUACUGUGCGACUAGAGUGCAGAAGGGGCAACUGGAAUUCUCGGUGUAGCGGUGAAAUGCGUAGAUAUCGAGAGGAACACCUGCGGCGAAGGCGGGUUGCUGGGCUGACACUGACGCUGAUGCGCGAAAGCCAGGGGAGCGAACGGG